rnacentral:rRNA from 1 species
GACGAACGCUGGCGGCGUGCUUAACACAUGCAAGUCGCACGGUAAGGCCCUGCGGGGUACACGAGUGGCGAACGGGUGAGUAACACGUGGGUGAUCUGCCCUGCACUGUGGGAUAAGCCUGGGAAACUGGGUCUAAUACCGGAUAGGACCAUGCGCUGCACGGUGUGUGGGGGCAAGCCUCUGCGGUGUGGGAUGGGCCCGCGGCCGAGCGGCUUGUUGGGGGAGUAAUGGCCUACCAAGGCGACAAGGGGUAGCCGGCCUGCGAGGGUGGCCGGCCACACUGGGACUGAGAUACGGCCCAGACUCCUACGGGAGGCAGCAGUGGGGAAUAUUGCACAAUGGGCACAAGCCUGAUGCAGCGACGCCGCGUGAGGGAUGACGGCCUUCGGGUUGUAAACCUCUUUCAGUAGGGACGAAGCGCAAGUGACGGUACCUACAGAAGAAGGACCGGCCAACUACGUGCCAGCCGCCGCGGUAA